rnacentral:rRNA from 1 species
UACGUAGGGUGCAAGCGUUGUCCGGAAUUAUUGGGCGUAAAGAGCGUGUAGGCGGCCAACUAAGUCCUGCGUGAAAUCUCGGGGCUCAACCCCGAGCGGUCGUGGGAAACUGGUUGGCUAGAGUGCGGGAGAGGAGAGUGGAAUUCCUGGUGUAGCGGUGAAAUGCGCAGAUAUCAGGAAGAACACCCGUGGCGAAGGCGGCUCUCUGGAACGCAACUGACGCUGAGACGCGAAAGCGUGGGGAGCAAACAGG